AGUAGGGCGGGACACGUGGUAUCCUGUCUGAAUAUGGGGGGACCAUCCUCCAAGGCUAAAUACUCCUGACUGACCGAUAGUGAACCAGUACCGUGAGGGAAAGGCGAAAAGAACCCCGGCGAGGGGAGUGAAAAAGAACCUGAAACCGUGUACGUACAAGCAGUGGGAGCACCUUCGGGUGUGACUGCGUACCUUUUGUAUAAUGGGUCAGCGACUUAUAUUCUGUAGCAAGGUUAACCGUAUAGGGGAGCCGCAGGGAAACCGAGUCUUAACUGGGCGUUAAGUUGCAGGGUAUAGACCCGAAACCCGGUGAUCUAGCCAUGGGCAGGUUGAAGGUUGGGUAACACUAACUGGAGGACCGAACCGACUAAUGUUGAAAAAUUAGCGGAUGACUUGUGGCUGGGGGUGAAAGGCCAAUCAAACCGGGAGAUAGCUGGUUCUCCCCGAAAGCUAUUUAGGUAGCGCCUCGUGAAUUCAUCUUCGGGGGUAGAGCACUGUUUCGGCUAGGGGGUCAUCCCGACUUACCAACCCGAUGCAAACUACGAAUACCGAAGAAUGUUAUCACGGGAGACACACGGCGGGUGCUAACGUCCGUCGUGAAGAGGGAAACAACCCAGACCGCCAGCUAAGGUCCCAAAGUCAUGGUUAAGUGGGAAACGAUGUGGGAAGGCACAGACAGCCAGGAUGUUGGCUUAGAAGCAGCCAUCAUUUAAAGAAAGCGUAAUAGCUCACUGGUCGAGUCGGCCUGCGCGGAAGAUGUAACGGGGCUAAACCAUGCACCGAAGCUGCGGCAGCGACACUAUGUGUUGUUGGGUAGGGGAGCGUUCUGUAAGCCUGCGAAGGUGUGCUGUGAGGCAUGCUGGAGGUAUCAGAAGUGCGAAUGCUGACAUAAGUAACGAUAAAGCGGGUGAAAAGCCCGCUCGCCGGAAGACCAAGGGUUCCUGUCCAACGUUAAUCGGGGCAGGGUGAGUCGACCCCUAAGGCGAGGCCGAAAGGCGUAGUCGAUGGGAAACAGGUUAAUAUUCCUGUACUUGGUGUUACUGCGAAGGGGGGACGGAGAAGGCUAUGUUAGCCGGGCGACGGUUGUCCCGGUUUAAGCAUGUAGGCUGGUUAUCCAGGCAAAUCCGGAUAAUCAAGGCUGAGGUGUGAUGACGAGGCACUACGGUGCUGAAGUAACAAAUGCCCUGCUUCCAGGAAAAGCCUCUAAGCAUCAGGUAACAUCAAAUCGUACCCCAAACCGACACAGGUGGUCAGGUAGAGAAUACCAAGGCGCUUGAGAGAACUCGGGUGAAGGAACUAGGCAAAAUGGUGCCGUAACUUCGGGAGAAGGCACGCUGGUGUGUAGGUGAAGUCCCUGCGGAUGGAGCUGAGACCAGUCGAAGAUACCAGCUGGCUGCAACUGUUUAUUAAAAACACAGCACUGUGCAAACACGAAAGUGGACGUAUACGGUGUGACGCCUGCCCGGUGCCGGAAGGUUAAUUGAUGGGGUUAUCCGUAAGGAGAAGCUCUUGAUCGAAGCCCCGGUAAACGGCGGCCGUAACUAUAACGGUCCUAAGGUAGCGAAAUUCCUUGUCGGGUAAGUUCCGACCUGCACGAAUGGCGUAAUGAUGGCCAGGCUGUCUCCACCCGAGACUCAGUGAAAUUGAACUCGCUGUGAAGAUGCAGUGUACCCGCGGCAAGACGGAAAGACCCCGUGAACCUUUACUAUAGCUUGACACUGAACAUUGAGCCUUGAUGUGUAGGAUAGGUGGGAGGCUUUGAAGCGUGGACGCCAGUCUGCGUGGAGCCAACCUUGAAAUACCACCCUUUAAUGUUUGAUGUUCUAACGUUGGCCCCUUACCGGGGUUGCGGACAGUGUCUGGUGGGUAGUUUGACUGGGGCGGUCUCCUCCCAAAGCGUAACGGAGGAGCACGAAGGUUAGCUAAUCCUGGUCGGACAUCAGGAGGUUAGUGCAAUGGCAUAAGCUAGCUUGACUGCGAGCGUGACGGCGCGAGCAGGUGCGAAAGCAGGUCAUAGUGAUCCGGUGGUUCUGAAUGGAAGGGCCAUCGCUCAACGGAUAAAAGGUACUCCGGGGAUAACAGGCUGAUACCGCCCAAGAGUUCAUAUCGACGGCGGUGUUUGGCACCUCGAUGUCGGCUCAUCACAUCCUGGGGCUGAAGUAGGUCCCAAGGGU
rnacentral:rRNA from 1 species